GACGAACGCUGGCGGCGUGCUUAACACAUGCAAGUCGAGCGGAGCGGCGAACGGGUGAGUAACGCGUGAGUAACUGCCCCCCUCUCUGGGAUAACAGUUGGAAACGGCUGCUAAUACCGGAUAGUGGGGGAUGACUCGCGUCCUAUCAGCUUGUUGGUGGGGUAGUGGCCUACCAAGGCGACGACGGGUAGCCGGCCUGAGAGGGCGACCGGCCAAAUGGGGCUGAGAUACGGACCAAACUGCUACGGGAGGCAGCGGUGGGGAGUAUGGCACAAUGGGGGAAACCCUAAUGCGGCAACGCCGCGGGCGGGAUGACGGCCUUCGGGGUGUAAACCGCUUUCAGCCAUGACGCGGUAGUGGCAGAAGAAGCACCGGCUAACUACGUGCCAGCAGCCGCGGUAAUUC
rnacentral:rRNA from 1 species